UAGGGAAUCUUCCGCAAUGGGCGAAAGCCUGACGGAGCAACGCCGCGUGAGUGAUGAAGGUCUUCGGAUCGUAAAACUCUGUUAUUAGGGAAGAACAAAUGUGUAAGUAACUAUGCACGUCUUGACGGUAUCUAAUCAGAAAGCCACGGCUAACUACGUGCCAGCAGCCGCGGUAAUACGUAGGUGGCAAGCGUUAUCCGGAAUUAUUGGGCGUAACGCGCGCGUAGGCGGUUUUUUAAGUCUGAUGUGAAAGCCCACGGCUCAACCGUGAAGGGUCAUUGGAAUCUGGAACACUUGAGUGCAGAAGAGGAAAGUGUAAUUCCAUGUGUAACGGUGAAAUGCGCAGAAAUAUGGAGGAACACCAGUGGCGAAGGCGACUUUCUAGUCUGUAACUGACGCUGAUGUGCGAAAGCGAGGGGAUCAAACAGG
rnacentral:rRNA from 1 species